GUGCAUUUGGGCGUCCUCAGGGUGGUCCCCCAAGUACUUUCGAAUACGACCAACGAGAAUCACGAGAAAAUAUACCUUCUGUAAUGUACAGCAUCUUUCACGCCCAUUUCAUUGGUUGGUGUAUGUAGGCAUCCUUCAGUCUUGGAAACGAUGGUGUGACGUAUUGGUUAUGAUCUCUGGAUGGUACGGCGUCGUGUUGUUG
rnacentral:lncRNA from 1 species